GCACUCACAUCUUUCCCAUGCCCGCUGUGCGGUGCUGGCGUGGGGACAGAGGGUGCCACACGAUGCGCAGAGCAUAUCCAGACGGGCUGCUUUCCAUUUGUCCUGGAGCCUGUCUCUACAACUCUGCCACAUUU